UACGUAGGGUGCGAGCGUUGUCCGGAAUUAUUGGGCGUAAAGAGCUCGUAGGCGGUUUGUCGCGUCGGCCGUGAAAACUUGGGGCUUAACUCCAAGCUUGCGGUCGAUACGGGCAGACUUGAGUUCGGCAGGGGAGACUGGAAUUCCUGGUGUAGCGGUGAAAUGCGUAGAUAUCAGGAGGAACACCAGCGGUGUAAGAGGCUUCUGGGACCAUGCUGACGCUGAGACAGAAAGCGUGGGAGCAAACAGG
rnacentral:rRNA from 1 species